UCAACUCGAAUUUGUAUGCAGUUGGAAUAGCGCCCCUAGCGGCAAACGUAGGCAAACGUUUCAACUCAAUACAAAUUUGUGUUA
rnacentral:pre_miRNA from 1 species